rnacentral:tRNA from 1 species
AAGGGAGACCUAAUUCAGGUAGGAGACGAAAAAAAAGUAGUCGCUACCAAGAAUCAAUCCCAAAAGGUCGGAGCGAGGCGAAAUUGGCUUUCAAACUAGGUUCUGGGUUCAAACAAGACCUGAAUCAGGAACAAGGGCUAUUAGCUCAGGUGGUUAGAGCGCACCCCUGAUAAGGGUGAGGUCCCUGGUUCGAGUCCAGGAUGGCCCACCUGCACAGGUGGCAAAAACAAGAGAAGCUCCGAAUCAGCACCUUAUCUUACUGACAUAGUAAGAGAGAAUGCUGGCUCUGAGUAAAGAGUCCAGAGGAACCUUGAAAACUGCAUAGAGCCAGGUGAAAAAGCCAAAAAAGAAGACCGCAG